rnacentral:ncRNA from 1 species
GAUAACUGGCUUGUGGCAGCCAAGAGUUCAUAGCGACGUUGCUUUUUGAUCAUUCGAUGUCGGCUCUUCCUAUCAUAGUGAAGCAGAAUUCACCAAGUGUUGGUUUGUUCACCCACCAAUAGGGAACGUGAGCUGGGUUUAGACCGUCGUGAGAUAGGUU